UAUGAUCCUAAUUCAGCUUUAGAUGUUCGUAGCAACAAAAAUCCUAACUUGAGAAGAGAUCUUUUGAAAACUAUAUAAGAUUGUUUAUUGCAAAUAAAUCCAUUUCCUAUGAAAUUUCGACAGGCUCACAAUUUUAAGUGAAUGGGAAUUGAUGGGGGUGAAUUUAUCGGCUUAUCUUCACUAUAGUUCUGUAGCAGACCGACGUCGAUAUAAUCUCCCAACAACCGAUGAG
rnacentral:lncRNA from 1 species